AUGACCUGGCCCAGCCAUCCAGCGCGGGAAGCAGCGGAGACCGCGGCGGCGGCGGCGGCGGCGGCGGCGGCGAUGGCGAUGCUAGACCGACGAAGGCCCCACGCUUGCCCCCACCGCCCGCGCAGUCGCACUCUCGCGACCAGACGGCGCUUCCCACUUCAGCGCCCCCGCCGCCUCCCGCCGACAAGGAUCCGGUGGAGCUGGAAGAAGGGGAGCGAGGAGAUGAUGAAGAUUCAGGGGAGGAAGAAGAGGAUGAUCAGGAUUCGGAAGGGGAGCUCCAGGGGUCACUUCCUGAUGGGAGAACCGACCGUGCCCUCACUGGUGGUUUCGGGUGUCCACAUGCUCCCGACAGCAUUAGGACCUCAGGAACAACUCUCGGAAUUGGUUCGUGAAUCUCCAGAUAAUUCCAUCAUCCAGGAAAAGAUGAAGAUUCUCAGUAAGCAUUAUGUGCUCUUCAGAAGAACUCGCCAAGAUGGCAGCUGUUUUUACAGAGCUUUUAUCUUCUCCUACAUGGAGAUCCUUCGACAGAUGCAAGAUAAACAAGCUGAAGUUACUCGUCUUAUGGAAUGCUUGGAUAUGUCUAAAGAUAGAUUCUCUUGUCUUGAGUGGAACAAAGCAUACUUCUCGAUAGAUCCCGAAGAAUACUUCUCAAGUGUUGUUUCUGAGCUCAAUGAGGUUCUCAACGUCAUUGCAGCAGGCUGUACUUCUGAAUGGCUGUACCAGAGAAGCCUGCAGGAGUCCUUUUCAGGCAGGAUUAUAUCUCUCCUUAGGUUGAUUACUGAGACUGAAAUCCGUACAGACGAGUUCUACAAGCAAUCUAUCCCUAAAAAUUUGAAUGUCCUCCAGUUCUGUUGGAAGGCGGUGCGAUCCCUGGAUGCUGAAGCUACCGCUACACAAAUGAGGGCUUUGACAUAUGCACUCGGCAUACCUUUGCGUGUCGAAGUCGUGGACAAGAGCUUGACGGAUCAAGGUGUGUUAGUGAAGCGCCUCGAUUUCUUCCAUGAGUUCGACAUGGAGAAGGGCCCUCUCCGUUUGACUCGGAGCUACCUUUCCUCGAGCACAGCUCGUAUACCGCUGAAGCAGGGAAGCUACGAUGGCGACUUGCUAUCAUCUGAUGGCACACCCAUGCUGACCUUACUGUGUCGGCAUGGCCAUUGUGACAUUCUUUACCGCAAGUGA
rnacentral:rRNA from 1 species